rnacentral:lncRNA from 1 species
AUGACGACCGCGUCCACCUCGCAGGUGCGCCAGAACUACCACCAGUACUCAGAGGCCGCCAUCAACCGCCAGAUCAACCUGGAGCACUACGCCUCCUAAGUUUACCUGUCCCUGUCUUACUACUUUGACCGCGAUGAUGUGGCUUUGAAGAACUUUGCCAAAUACUUUCUUCACCAAUCUCAUGAGGAGAGGGGACAUGCUGAGAAACUGAUGAAGCUGCAGAACCAAUGAGGUGGCCGAAUCUUCCUUCAGGAUAUCAAGAAACCAGACUGUGAUGACUGGGAGAGCGGGCUGAAUGCGAUGGAGUGUGCAUUACAUUUGGAAAAAAAUGUGAAUCAGUCACUACUGGAACUGCACAAACUGGCCACUGACAAAAAUGACCCCCAUUUGUGUGACUUGAGAUACAUUACCUGAAUGAGCAGGUGAAAGCCAUCAAAGAAUUGGGUGACCACGUGACCAACUUGCGCAAGAUGGGAGCGCCCGAAUCUGGCGUGGGAGAAUAUCUCUUUGACAAGCACACUCUGGGAGACAGUGAUAAUGAAAGCUAA